rnacentral:rRNA from 1 species
AUUGAACGCUGGCGGCAUGCUUUACACAUGCAAGUCGAGCGGCAGCGCGGGGGCAACCCUGGCGGCGAGCGGCGAACGGGUGAGGAAUACAUCGGAACGUGCCCCGGAGUGGGGGAUAACGCCGCGAAAGCGGCGCUAAUACCGCAUAUGCUCUGAGGAGGAAAGCGGGGGACCUGUGAGGGCCUCGCGCUCUGGGAGCGGCCGAUGUCCGAUUAGCUAGUUGGUGGGGUAAAGGCCCACCAAGGCGACGAUCGGUAGCUGGUCUGGGAGGAUGAUCAGCCACACUGGGACUGAGACACGGCCCAGACUCCUACGGGAGGCAGCAGUGGGGAAUUUUGGACAAUGGGGGCAACCCUGAUCCAGCCAUGCCGCGUGCGGGAUGAAGGCCUUCGGGUUGUAAACUGCUUCUGUACGGAACGAAAAGCCUCUUUCUAAUAAAGAGAGGUCAUGACGGUACCGUAAGAAUAAGCACCGGCUAACUACGUGCCAGCCGCCGCCGUAAAAC